AACGUAGGAGACAAACGUUAUCCGGAGUUACUGGGCGUAAAGGGCGUGUAGGUGGUUGCGUAAGUCUGGCGUGAAAUUUUUCGGCUUAACCGGGAAAGGUCGUCGGAUACUGCGUAGCUAGAGGACGGUAGAGGCGUGUGGAAUUCCGGGUGUAGUGGUGAAAUGCGCAGAUAUCAGGAGGAACACCGGUGGCGAAGGCGGGUCUCUGGGCCGAUACUGACGCUGAGGAGCGAAAGCGUGGGGAGCGAACAGG
rnacentral:rRNA from 1 species